rnacentral:rRNA from 1 species
UUAGAUACCCUGGUAGUCCUAGCCGUAAACGGUGCACGUUUGCUGUAAAAGGAAUCGACCCCUUUUGUGGCGCAGCCAACGCGUUAAACGUGCCGCCUGGGAAGUACGGUCGCAAGAUUAAAACUCAAAGAAAUUGACGGGGGCCUGCACAAGCGGUGGAGUAUGUGGCUCAAUUCGAUGCAACGCGAAGAACCUUACCUGGCCUUGACAUGUACGUAGUAGAAGGGUGAAAGCCUGACGAGGUAGCAAUACCAGCGUACACAGGUGCUGCAUGGCUGUCGUCAGCUCGUGUCGUGAGAUGUUGGGUUAAGUCCCGCAACGAGCGCAACCCUUGUGUCCUGUUGCCAAGCCCCGAGCAAUCGGGGCAGCACUCUGGACAGACUGCCUCGCUUAAACGAGGAGGAAGGUGGGGAUGACGUCAAGUCAGUAUGGCCCUUACGGCCAGGGCUGCACACGUACUACAAUGCCCGGCACAAAGGGAAGCGAGACCGUCAGGUGGAGCAAAUCCCCUAAAACCGGGCUCAGUUCAGAUUGUCGUCUGCAACUCGACGGCAUGAAGCUGGAAUCGCUAGUAAUGGCGCAUCAGCUACGGCGCCGUGAAUACGUUCCCAGGCCUUGUACACACCGCCCGUCACAUCAUGAAAGCCGUUUGUACCCGAAGUCGCC